rnacentral:misc_RNA from 1 species
GUGAAUCAUCGAAUCUUUGAACGCACAUUGCGCCCGCCAGUAUUCUGGCGGGCAUGCCUGUCCGAGCGUCAUUUCAACCCUCGAACCCCUCCGGGGGGUCGGCGUUGGGGAUCGGCCCUUUCACCGGGUGCCGGCCCCUAAAUACAGUGGCGGUCUCGCCGCAGCCUCUCAUGCGCAGUAGUUUGCACACUCGCACCGGGAGCGCGGCGCGUCCACGUCCGUAAAACACCCCAACUUCUGAAAUGUUGACCUCGGAUCAGGUAGGAAUACCCGCUGAACUUAAGCAUAUCAAUAAGCGGAGGA